rnacentral:rRNA from 1 species
CGUAAACGAUGUCUACUUGGAGGUUGUGCCCUUGAGGCGUGGCUUCCGGAGCUAACGCGUUAAGUAGACCGCCUGGGGAGUACGGCCGCAAGGUUAAAACUCAAAUGAAUUGACGGGGGCCCGCACAAGCGGUGGAGCAUGUGGUUUAAUUCGAUGCAACGCGAAGAACCUUACCUGGUCUUGACAUCCACAGAAGAAUCCAGAGAUGGAUUUGUGCCUUCGGGAACUGUGAGACAGGUGCUGCAUGGCUGUCGUCAGCUCGUGUUGUGAAAUGUUGGGUUAAGUCCCGCAACGAGCGCAACCCUUAUCCUUUGUUGCCAGCGGUUAGGCCGGGAACUCAAAGGAGACUGCCAGUGAUAAACUGGAGGAAGGUGGGGAUGACGUCAAGUCAUCAUGGCCCUUACGACCAGGGCUACACACGUGCUACAAUGGCGCAUACAAAGAGAAGCGACCUCGCGAGAGCAAGCGGACCUCAUAAAGUGCGUCGUAGUCCGGAUUGGAGUCUGCAACUCGACUCCAUGAAGUCGGAAUCGCUAGUAAUCGUGGAUCAGAAUGCCACGGUGAAUACGUUCCCGGGCCUUGUACACACCGCCCGUCACACCAUGGGAGUGGGUUGCAAAAGAAGUAGGUAGCUUAACCUUCGGGAGGGCGCUUACCACUUUGUGAUUCAUGACUGGGGUGAAGUCGUAACAAGGUAACCGUAGGGGAACCUGCGGUUGGA